rnacentral:tRNA from 1 species
GCCGUUGUAGCUCAGUUGGUAGAGCAUUUCCAUGGUAAGGAAAAGGUCCGCAGUUCGAUUCUGCGCAACGGCUCGA